UCCCCCCAGAUUCCUUACCUCUCAGAUCUAAACAUUGGUCUGGGUGGCUGGAAAAUGAGGAAAAGUCAAACUGACGUGGACUUAGAUUCUUCAGAGACAUACAAGGUCAUUGUAAACAAAC
rnacentral:snoRNA from 1 species